rnacentral:rRNA from 1 species
GAUGAACGCUGGCGGCGUGCCUAAUACAUGCAAGUCGAGCGAACAGACGAGGAGCUUGCUCCUCUUACGUUAGCGGCGGACGGGUGAGUAACACGUGGAUAACCUACCUAUAAUACUGGGAUAACUUCGGGAAACCGGAGCUAAUACCGGAUAAUAUAUUGAACCGCAUGGUUCAAUAGUUAAAGACGGGUUUGCUGUCACUUAUAGAUGGAUCCGCGCCGCAUUAGCUAGUUGGUAAGGUAACGGCUUACCAAGGCAACGAUGCGUAGCCGACCUGAGAGGGUGAUCGGCCACACUGGAACUGAGACACGGUCCAGACUCCUACGGGAGGCAGCAGUAGGGAAUCUUCCGCAAUGGGCGAAAGCCUGACGGAGCAACGCCGCGUGAGUGAUGAAGGUCUUCGGAUCGUAAAACUCUGUUAUUAGGGAAGAACAAAUGUGUAAGUAAAUAUGCACGUCUUGACGGUACCUAAUCAGAAAGCCACGGCUAACUACGUG